UACGUAGGGUGCGAGCGUUGUCCGGAAUUAUUGGGCGUAAAGAGCUCGUAGGCGGUUUGUUGCGUCGGCUGUGAAAUCCCGAGGCUCAACCUCGGGUCUGCAGUCGAUACGAGCAAACUAGAGUGUUGCAGGGGAGACUGGAAUUCCUGGUGUAGCGGUGAAAUGCGCAGAUAUCAGGAGGAACACCGGUGGCGAAGGCGGGUCUCUGGGCAACAACUGACGCUGAGGAGCGGAAGCGUGGGGAGCGAACAGG
rnacentral:rRNA from 1 species